rnacentral:rRNA from 1 species
GACGAACGCUGGCGGCGUGCUUAACACAUGCAAGUCGAACGAAGUGGCGAACGGGUGAGUAACGCGUAAUCAACCUGCCCUUCAGAGGGGGACAACAGUUGGAAACGACUGCUAAUACCGCAUACUGAAGGCGGGACGUGCGUCUGAUUAGCGAGGUGGAGGGGUAACGGCCCACCAAGGCGAUGCUCAGUAGCCGGUCUGAGAGGAUGAACGGCAACAUUGUGACUGAGACACGGCACAGACGCUUACGGGAGGCAGCAGUGGGGAAUCUCCCGCAAUGGACGAAAGUCUGACGGAGCAACGCCGCGUGAGUGAUGACGGCCUUCGGGUUGUAAAGCUCUGUUAAUCGGGACGCGGUACCGGAAUAGAAAGCCACGGCUAACUACGUGCCAGCCGCCGCGGUAAUUC